GCAAACCUCCAAGCUGGUUAGAAAAAAUCACUUGGCUUUAAAUCAUGCGUGAAUAUGUGGAAAAAGAAAGCUUGAUCGGUGAUUAAUUGCUUAGUAUGGGGCACCUGCAAGAAAUGCUUAGAAAUGUCAAGUCUUAACCUCUUGGGGCACCUGCAAGAUAUGCAUAGAAACGUAAAGUCUUAACCUCAUCCUUGUUGGUUUACUAUCUUAUUAGGGCCAUAUUUUUGUUCAUCAUUCAUCAUCAUUUUAUUCUUGUAUGGCCACUUUGAAUGAAUUGAACCAUCUUUGUAUUA
rnacentral:lncRNA from 1 species